GUGCUCGCUUCGGCAGCACAUAUACUAAAAUUGGAACGAUACAGAGAAGAUUAGCAUGGCCCCUGCGCAAGGAUAAUGCAAACUAGUACAGCCACUAUGGAAAACAGU